rnacentral:rRNA from 1 species
GACGAACGCUGGCGGCGUGCUUAACACAUGCAAGUCGAACGGAAAGGCCCUGCUUUUGUGGGGUGCUCGAGUGGCGAACGGGUGAGUAACACGUGAGUAACCUGCCCUUGACUUUGGGAUAACUUCAGGAAACUGGGGCUAAUACCGGAUAGGAGCUCCUGCUGCAUGGUGGGGGUUGGAAAGUUUCGGCGGUUGGGGAUGGACUCGCGGCUUAUCAGCUUGUUGGUGGGGUAGUGGCUUACCAAGGCUUUGACGGGUAGCCGGCCUGAGAGGGUGACCGGCCACAUUGGGACUGAGAUACGGCCCAGACUCAUACGGGAGGCAGCAGUGGGGAAUAUUGCACAAUGGGCGGAAGACUGAUGCAGCAACGCCGCGUGCGGGAUGACGGCCUUCGGGUUGUAAACCGCUUUCGCCUGUGACGAAGCGUGAGUGACGGUAAUGGGUAAAGAAGCACCGGCUAACUACGUG